rnacentral:rRNA from 1 species
UUAACGGAGAGUUUGAUCCUGGCUCAGGACGAACGCUGGCGGCGUGCCUAAUACAUGCAAGUCGAGCGGAGUUUCAAGAAGCUUGCUUUUUGAAACUUAGCGGCGGACGGGUGAGUAACACGUGGGCAACCUGCCCCUUAGACUGGGAUAACUCCGGGAAACCGGAGCUAAUACCGGAUAAUCCCUUUUUCCACCUGGAGAGAGGGUGAAAGAUGGCUUCGGCUAUCACUAGGGGAUGGGCCCGCGGCGCAUUAGCUAGUUGGUAAGGUAACGGCUUACCAAGGCGACGAUGCGUAGCCGACCUGAGAGGGUGAUCGGCCACACUGGGACUGAGACACGGCCCAGACUCCUACGGGAGGCAGCAGUAGGGAAUCUUCCGCAAUGGACGAAAGUCUGACGGAGCAACGCCGCGU